rnacentral:lncRNA from 1 species
GCAUGGAUUAGUAAAAUAGUUUAAAAGAGGGGGUAGGGGCCUAUUUAAAGAAAAAUAUACUCAUCUUUUCAUGUGCUUCUUCUGUUAUUCCCUGUCUUCUCAUGGGGCUCCCCCGCUUCUGAAAGAAAAACAAGAGUAUGGAUUAGUAAAAUAGUUUAAAAGAGGGGUAGGGGCCUAUUUAAAGAAAAAUAUACUCAUCUUUCCAUGUGCUUCUUCUGUUAUUCCCUGUCUUCUCAUGGGGCUCCCUGCUUCUGAAAGAAAAACAAAG